GAUGUACGCUGGCGGCGUGCCUAAUACAUGCAAGUCGAGCGAACAGACGAGGAGCUUGCUCCUCUGACGUUAGCGGCGGACGGGUGAGUAACACGUGGAUAACCUACCUAUAAGACUGGGAUAACUUCGGGAAACCGGAGCUAAUACCGGAUAAUAUAUUGAACCGCAUGGUUCAAUAGUGAAAGACGGUUUUGCUGUCACUUAUAGAUGGAUCCGCGCCGCAUUAGCCAGUUGGUAAGGUAACGGCUUACCAAGGGAACGAUGCGUAGCCGACCUGAGAGGGUGAUCGGCCACACUGGAACUGGGACACGGUCCAGACUCCUACGGGGGGCAGCAGUAGGGAAUCUUCCGCAAUGGGCGAAAGCUUGACGGAGCAACGCCGCGUGAGUGAUGAAGGUCUUCGGACCGUAAAACUCUGUUAUUAGGGAAAAACAAAUGUGUAAGUAACUAUGCACGUAUUGACGGUACCUAAUCAGAAAGCCACGGCUAACUACGUG
rnacentral:rRNA from 1 species